rnacentral:rRNA from 1 species
GAUGAACGCUGGCGGCGUGCCUAAUACAUGCAAGUCGAGCGAACAGACGAGGAGCUUGCUCCUCUGACGUUAGCGGCGGACGGGUGAGUAACACGUGGAUAACCUACCUAUAAGACUGGGAUAACUUCGGGAAACCGGAGCUAAUACCGGAUAAUAUAUUGAACCGCAUGGUUCAAUAGUGAAAGACGGUUUUGCUGUCACUUAUAGAUGGAUCCGCGCCGCAUUAGCUAGUUGGUAAGGUAACGGCUUACCAAGGCAACGAUGCGUAGCCGACCUGAGAGGGUGAUCGGCCACACUGGAACUGAGACACGGUCCAGACACCUACGGGAGGCAGCAGUAGGGAAUCUUCCGCAAUGGGCGAAAGCUUGACGGAGCAACGCCGCGUGAGUGAUGAAGGUCUUCGGAUCGUAAAACGCUGUUAUUAGGGAAGAACAAAUGUGUAAGUAACGAUGCACGUCUGGACGGUACCUAAUAGAAAGCCACGGCUAACUACGUG